AGAAAACUUUGGGUGGGAGUUCCUACCCUGUGACCGCUCAUGUGAUGUCUGGAGAUUUACUGGCACGAAACGCUUAGUGCUCUACGUAAGCUCGAAGCGCAGGUCUAACGAGUCUGAGAAAGUCCUUCCUGAUUCUGAGGGAGCUAUACUUGAGGGUCAGGACAAAUGGAGAAUUCAUCUGGCUCUAGUAAGCACAGCGAGGCUGGAUGUGCCUGAGGAAGAUUCCCAAAGGAAGCCCUGAUCAGUAGAUCCCACCUGGGAGAAUGGAGACUACCCCCGCAAAGUUCCCAGGGGUGCCCAGGAAGGUCAAGCUGCCAGACUCCACAGCAGGAGGACAGAGGAUGCACGUCUGCCUCUUCCAUGGAGCUAAGCCCUUUUCCUACUCUGCCCCCCAUCCCUUCAUCACAUGGUGAACAAGAAGGAUGAGGAGCCGUGACAAGUGUUGAUGGAGGACUUCUGAGUAGAUGUGUUUAAUCACCAGAGGGAACCUGUCCUGACAAGGCUACUGGAGGCUGGAGAUGCUGUUUGUGUCAGCUGGUCCCCGGGGGAGCCCAGGGCACAGUGACUCUGCUCACCUCCAGUGCCCAGAAGAGGGGUUUGAUUGUUACUGCAGCACAGCCUUCCAGCCUAUCCUGACUCGUACACUUGACAGCAAGUUCCUUAAAUCGCUUAAAGUCCUGUUUACUGUCCGUGAUGUCUUUGUUUAUUCUUUGUUGUCUGCUUUUAAAAGUCUUUAUGGGCAGGGACCUUGUUCCUUCCUAUUCACUAAUAAAUACCUCAGAUCCUAACAUAUUACCUGGAAAGUAGUAAAUAUACAGUCAUGA